rnacentral:rRNA from 1 species
AUACGUAGGUGGCAAGCGUUGUCCGGAAUUAUUGGGCGUAAAGCGCGCGCAGGUGGUUUCUUAAGUCUGAUGUGAAAGCCCACGGCUUAACCGUGGAGGGUCAUUGGAAACUGGGAGACUUGAGUGCAGAAGAGGAAAGUGGAAUUCCAAGUGUAGCGGUGAAAUGCGUAGAGAUUUGGAGGAACACCAGUGGCGAAGGCGACUUUCUGGUCUGCAACUGACGCUGAGGCGCGAAAGCAUGGGGAGCAAACAGGAUUAGAUACCCUGGUAGUCCAUGCCGUAAACGAUGAGUGCUAAGUGUUAGGGGGUUUCCGCCCCUUAGUGCUGCAGCUAACGCAUUAAGCACUCCGCCUGGGGAGUACGACCGCAAGGUUGA